rnacentral:rRNA from 1 species
CUACGGGGGGCUGCAGUGGGGAAUCUUAGACAAUGGGCGCAAGCCUGAUCUAGCCAUGCCGCGCGAGUGAUGAAGGCCUUAGGGUCGUAAAGCUCUUUCGCCAGAGAUGAUAAUGACAGUAUCUGGUAAAGAAACCCCGGCUAACUCCGUGCCAGCAGCCGCGGUAAUACGGAGGGGGUUAGCGUUGUUCGGAAUUACUGGGCGUAAAGCGCACGUAGGCGGAUUAGAAAGUUGGGGGUGAAAUCCCGGGGCUCAACCUCGGAACUGCCUCCAAAACUCCUAGUCUAGAGUUCGAGAGAGGUGAGUGGAAUUCCAAGUGUAGAGGUGAAAUUCGUAGAUAUUUGGAGGAACACCAGUGGCGAAGGCGGCUCACUGGCUCGAUACUGACGCUGAGGUGCGAAAGUGUGGGGAGCAAACAGGAUUAGAUACCCUGGUAGUC